AAAGAGGCCCUCCUGGACUGGAUGGAAAUCCUGGAGAACUGGGCCUGCCAGGCCCCCCUGGAGUCCCCGGCCUCAUUGGUGACUUAGGAGUGUUGGGUCCGAUUGGCUACCCGGGACCCAAGGGCAUGAAGGGACUGAUGGGCAGCGUGGGGGAGCCCGGACUGAAAGGGUGAACAAGGGGUUCCAGGUGUGUCAGGAGAUCCCGGAUUCCAAGGAGACAAGGGGAGCCAGGGGUUGCCAGGGUUCCCCGGUGCACGGGGGAAGCCAGGGCCUCUGGGCAAAGUCGGAGACAAAGGAUCCAUUGGGUUUCCCGGGCCCCCUGGACCCGAGGGAUUCCCAGGAGACAUCGGCCCCCCUGGCGACAAUGGCCCAGAAGGCAUGAAGGGUAAGCCUGGAGCCCGAGGCCUGCCGGGACCCCGUGGGCAGCUGGGGCCCGAGGGAGAUGAGGGACCCAUGGGGCCGCCAGGGGCCCCUGGCUUGGAGGGUCAGCCUGGCAGGAAGGGGUUUCCUGGGAGGCCCGGCCUGGAUGGCGUGAAGGGGGAACCAGGGGAUCCUGGUCGGCCGGGGCCUGUGGGAGAGCAGGUUAGUUAGCAACGGUCUCUGAAUGAGUGGCUCCAUUUAUUGGGCCCUUACUCUGUGCCAAGCCCUUUGCCCAGCACCCUCCAUGCACCACCUCGUGUAAUUCUCAGAACAACUCCAGAGGUAGGUUCAGUCCUCUACCCCUUUCACGAAUGUGGACGGUGACCCUCAGAACGGGGAAGUCUGUAAAUGAGAAAGCUGUGGAUCAUAGUCACGACAGCUUUUCCCCACAGCCUGACUCUACACACAGGUUUUUGGUGCAUUUGCCCAAAGAGGUUAUGUGACUGCUCCCCCAGGACAUUAAAACUGGAGGAGCCCUUGGCAGUCGUUGCUCGUGUUCCCAUCAGCUUAUAGAUCAGGAAGCCAAAGGCCAGAGAAGUGUUACCACUUGCCAAGGUCCCUUGGUCUAGGCAUCCCUAAAUUAUAUAGAAGAUGAAAUCCAAACCAGUGGCUCUGGCUGGUUGAGAAGCUGGGUCAAGGUCUGAAGAAGAGAAGAGGUUGCAACUAGUCAUUAAAAUGAAGGUUUGAGGAUCACGACCUUCAAUUAAAGUCCAGAGAAACAGCUCUGAGGGAUGGGCAGAGGGACAGCUUCAAUCCUUCCUGCCCAGCCCUGGGGCCUCCUGAAAGCUUAACCUCUUGGCUCCAAGGUGGAGAGGUGUUCAUCUCCUCCACUCCUUUAAAUAUGGAGCUCAUUCCUGGAAGGGGCUUCCUCAAUCCGGAAGGACUGAUGCUGGGGAUGGCCAUAGAGGAAUUUGGCCGCACCACGAAACCCCGUCAGUGGCGUGAGAGUCACACACGAUGGGCUUCCUCACCAGGCCUGCAACAUCUGUUGGGGGAAGAAAGGAAUUAAAACAGGGGGAGGCCUGGAUUUUUGAAAUCUUUCCAGUGUCAUUCGAGCGCAUUCUGUGGGAAGCCCGGGAGUUUGGAGAGGCUGCCGCGGCCUGGAUAUAUUUCCUGAUU
rnacentral:lncRNA from 1 species